UACGGGGGGAGCAAGCGUUGUUCGGAUUUACUGGGCGUAAAGGGCGUGUAGGCGGCCACCGCAAGUCGGUUGUGAAAUCUCCGGGCUUAACCCGGGAAAGGUCAACCGAUACUGCGGGGCUAGAGUGCAGAAGGGGCAACUGGGAAUUCUCGGUGUAGCGGUGAAAUGCGUAGAUAUCGAGAGGAACACCUGCGGCGAAGGCGGGUUGCUGGGCUGACACUGACGCUGAUGCGCGAAAGCCAGGGGAGCGAACGGG
rnacentral:rRNA from 1 species